AUUAGAACCAACAUGCAAACCCACCAAAAAAGCAUUAAACAGAAUAAAAGAAAAAAGAACAUGCCCAAAUUCAGAUAUCAAGAUCCAAGAAUGCAAUGAAGUGGAAAGAUUAAAACUUGUGUUGCCAAUAUAAUAAUCAUGAUAUGUAGAGAGCACAUAAACUAUUUAUCAACUAACAAGAAACAAGAAAAAGGGAAUAGAAAGCAACAUUCCCCGAUUCAGUUGUCAAGAGAUCCCAAAUUCAGUCAUCAGUAUUCGCAAGAAAGUGAGAACAAAUUCAUUGGAGUGAGA
rnacentral:misc_RNA from 1 species